AUUAAAAGGAGGGAAACCCCCAACGCUCUCCGCAGUCCUGUCGCUAGCCUGGGCCGAGACCCCUCGGUGACCGUGGCCGGGCUCCUGGCUGGGCGCCGCCGCGCCGGAGCGCGCUCGCGCGCGGAGGAGGAGGAGCGAGCCGGUCACUGAAGGGCGGCGACCGGCCGAAAGCAGCUGUCCACGGGGCCUAGGACAAGACCUGCCUCGUUAAAAAUUCAGGUUGUGUAGUCUUAAAAGUGACAUCCAGAAGCCUCAUAAACCCACCUACAUAGGAACACAGCAGUUGUAGAGGUGGAGAGAGGAGCAACCAGAAUUAGAGUUCAAAUAUACCUGACCAACAGCUGUGACACACUGGGGACUUUAACAUUCACUGGGGACUAUAAACUUUGACACAGAUCACUUAAUUCUCUGAAGACUGGAUCCAACAAUCACGAUGAAUACAAGAAUGUGCUAUGGUAGCAUGGUGAGUUCCAGACAAACCCGAGAAUUCGGUACAGCUGGGGAAGGAGGCCUAAGUCCUGAGACGGUCUUAGAAGCAGAACUGAUAGAUCUCAGGGAAAGUGAUGAAAUAGUUGACCUCACCUGCGAAUCGCUAGAACCUACAGUGAUUGACCUAACUUGCCACGACUCUGUUGUGAUUACUGAAGAAAGGAGGCGACGAGGGGGGAACACAAGGUCAUUCCAAGGCCAAACUGGCAGCUCUGUGGUGAGCAGUGAUAAGGAGGAGUUGAUGAGAAACAGGGAUGUAUAUGUGACCGACAGUACCUGCCAUAAUGCCCUGGAAGAAGAAGCUGUAAGUUGCACACUACCUGGUUAUAUUCGGUGCCGAAUUUGUAUGGAUGGGUACUCGGAGAUUGAACUAAGUAGGCGACACAUUUACUCUACAGAAUGUGGCCAUAUCUUCUGUAGUCGGUGCCUCUGCAUGUCCCUUAAAUAUAAUAAAAAUUGCCCAGUUUGUUUGAGGAAAAUCAACUGCUAUCAGUACCACCGCAUUUUUGUAUGAGGUGUGUUGUGUUAUUCAGGACAGAACCCUUGGGAUGGAAACAUGUCCUCGUGCAGAAAAUAUGGAUUCUUGCCAUCCAAUACACUGGACUCAAAAGUCUGCUUUAAAAAAUUGCUCUCUGGAGUAUGUGAAAAACUCGUUCAUUUCUCACACAAUAUGAGACUCUUUUUGAUUCCCUUUGGUUUCACGCUUCAGGGCUGGGCUUUGGUACUCAGUGUGCCACAGACUGGUGGUUGACCUCAAAGCAAUUUUUCCUUUUUUUUUCUUCAUAGUAUUCCAAUUUUUAACUGACUACACAUGGGCAUUUUGGAUCAUGUAAACAAGGGCAACAUCCUAGAGAUGGUGGAGCAAGUGGAUGGAAGGAACCUGGGAGACUAACAAUUUUGUGAGUCAGCACCACCAUACAAAUUUGGACUUUUACUUGAGAGAUAAAUAAACUUUAUUCUGUUAAAGCAA